rnacentral:rRNA from 2 species
CUUGUACUGUGAAACUGCGAAUGGCUCAUUAAAUCAGUUAUCGUUUAUUUGAUAGUACCUUACUACAUGGAUACCUGUGGUAAUUCUAGAGCUAAUACAUGCUAAAAACCCCGACUUCAGGAAGGGGUGUAUUUAUUAGAUAAAAAACCAACGCCCUUCGGGGCUCCUUGGUGAAUCAUAAUAACUUAACGAAUCGCAUGGCCUUGCGCCGGCGAUGGUUCAUUCAAAUUUCUGCCCUAUCAACUUUCGAUGGUAGGAUAGUGGCCUACCAUGGUGGCAACGGGUAACGGGGAAUUAGGGUUCGAUUCCGGAGAGGGAGCCUGAGAAACGGCUACCACAUCCAAGGAAGGCAGCAGGCGCGCAAAUUACCCAAUCCCGAUACGGGGAGGUAGUGACAAUAAAUACUGAUACGGGGCUCUUUUGGGUCUCGUAAUUGGAAUGAGAACAAUUUAAAUCCCUUAACGAGGAACAAUUGGAGGGCAAGUCUGGUGCCAGCAGCCGCGGUAAUUCCAGCUCCAAUAGCGUAUAUUAAAGUUGUUGCAGUUAAAAAGCUCGUAGUUGAACCUUGGGCCUGGCUGGCCGGUCCGCCUCACCGCGAGUACUGGUCCGGCUGGGCCUUUCCUUCUGGGGAACCUCAUGGCCUUCACUGGCUGUGGGGGGAACCAGGACUUUUACUGUGAAAAAAUUAGAGUGUUCAAAGCAGGCCUUUGCUCGAAUACAUUAGCAUGGAAUAAUAGAAUAGGACGUGUGGUUCUAUUUUGUUGGUUUCUAGGACCGCCGUAAUGAUUAAUAGGGAUAGUCGGGGGCGUCAGUAUUCAGCUGUCAGAGGUGAAAUUCUUGGAUUUGCUGAAGACUAACUACUGCGAAAGCAUUCGCCAAGGAUGUUUUCAUUAAUCAGGGAACGAAAGUUAGGGGAUCGAAGACGAUCAGAUACCGUCGUAGUCUUAACCAUAAACUAUGCCGACUAGGGAUCGGACGGGAUUCUAUAAUGACCCGUUCGGCACCUUACGAGAAAUCAAA